rnacentral:tRNA from 1 species
GCCGGAGUGGCGGAAUUGGUAGACGCAGCGGACUCAAAAUCCGCCGCCCUUAAAAGCGUGUGGGUUCGAGUCCCACCUCCGGCACCA